GACGAACGCUGGCGGCGUGCCUAAUACAUGCAAGUAGAACGCUGAAGAGAGGAGCUUGCUCUUCUUGGGUGAGUUGCGCACGGGUGAGUAACGCGUAGGUAACCUGCCUUGUAGCGGGGGAUAACUAUUGGAAACGAUAGCUAAUACCGCAUAACAAUGGGUGACACAUGUCAUUUAUUUGAAAGGGGCAAUUGCUCCACUACAAGAUGGACCUGCGUUGUAUUAGCUAGUAGGUGAGGUAAUGGCUCACCUAGGCGAGGAUACAUAGCCGACCUGAGAGGGUGAUCGGCCACACUGGGAGUGAGACACGGCCCAGACUCCCACGGGAGGCAGCAGGAGGGAAACGUCGGCAAUGGGGGCGACCCUGACCGAGAAACGCCGCGUGAGUGAAGAAGGUUUUCGGAUCGUAAAGCUCUGUUGUAAGCCAAGAACGGGUGUGAGAGUGGAAAGUUCACACUGUGACGGUAGCUUACCAGAAAGGGACGGCUAACUACGUG
rnacentral:rRNA from 1 species